UUCUGAGAACAGAGAGCAGAGCAACCUUCUUUUUAUAGCCUUUGAGGUGUGACGACCGUUGAAUGGUUAAUAUGUGUGUCCGUGCGUGCGUGUGUGUACAUGUGCAUAAUGAUGUAUAGUUUUCCAAAUUUAACAUGUCACUGAUACAAAAAUAAAAGUAUUUUGUUUAAAAUGUAAAAAUAUACUUUAGUUCAUUGUCACAGUAAUGAAGAUUGGGUUUAACUUUAUAUUCUUUUUAAAGAAAGAAAAAGGAUUUUACUUCUUCGUAUCACGAGAUGUUUAUGUUUAUGGAUUCUUCCUUUCGAUGAUUUACGCCACGAGGCUACUUUUGUAUCAAGACCAAACUCGUAGUUCAAGUUUUUUCAAAUGGUUUGAAUAAGAAAUAACAUGUUAUUCACGAUUUAUGUAUCAGAAUUUGAGAACAAAAAUUUGACAUUAGGAACAAAUAUGUUGAAAAAAACUAACGUAAGGGAGUUGUUCUGAACCGGUUAUCAUCUAUAAACCGGUGCUCGUUAGUAUUUGGUGACCAUACCUUUUUUUUUUUUUGUGUGGUGUGUUUAAUCGGUGAAUAGUCGUACCUAGUUAGCGUUUUCACGGUCAACCCCAAAAUUAAUGAGCAAAGCGUUUUUCAUAGUCAAUCUCAAAUAUUUGUACAUUCGUACGGUAAUGUGCCAUUAAAGAGUUGACCUCC
rnacentral:lncRNA from 1 species